rnacentral:rRNA from 1 species
GACAGAGGGUGCAAACGUUGUUCGGAAUUACUGGGCGUAAAGCGUGUGUAGGUGGCUGCGAAAGUCGGAUGUGAAAGCCCUGGGCUCAACUCAGGAAGUGCACCCGAUACUGCGUAGCUCGAGUACCGGAGAGGUUGGUAGAAUUCUCGGUGUAGAGGUGAAAUUCGUAGAUAUCGGGAGGAACACCGGUGGCGAAGGCGACCAUCUGGACGGAUACUGACGCUGAGACGCGAAAAGCGUGGGUAGCAAACAGG